CCUACGGGUGGCUGCAGUGGGGAAUUUUGGACAAUGGGCGCAAGCCUGAUCCAGCCAUUCCGCGUGAGUGAAGAAGGCCUUCGGGUUGUAAAGCUCUUUCGCAAGGGAAGAAACGAUGCAGUCGAAUAAACUGCGUUAAUGACGGUACCUUGAUAAGAAGCACCGGCUAACUACGUGCCAGCAGCCGCGGUAAUACGUAGGGUGCGAGCGUUAAUCGGAAUUAGUGCAGGUGGAGCGUGCGCAGGCAUGUGAAAUCCCCGGGCUCAACCUGGGAACUGCGUUUGAAACUACAAGGCUAGAGUGUAGCAGAGGGGGGUAGAAUUCCACGUGUAGCAGUGAAAUGCGUAGAGAUGUGGAGGAAUACCAAUGGCGAAGGCAGCCCCCUGGGUUAACACUGACGCUCAUGCACGAAAGCGUGGGGAGCAAACAGGAUUAGAUACCCCGGUAGUC
rnacentral:rRNA from 1 species